rnacentral:lncRNA from 1 species
UCAUUGUCAGAAAACAACUCCAGCAUCCUGCAACAAGGAACUACUUUGUAUUUCUAGCAUGAAAAACAAAAGUGCUGGAAAAUAGAAGCCUAUGGCCAGGAACAAACAAAAAAAGGAGAUAUAUGGACAAGGAGAACUGGAAGGAAGGUAAAUGAACAGCUCUGAAGACAUUCUCUAUCUUUUUUAUUCCUAUCCAUGACUGCCACAGCUUUCAAGCUUUAGGGGGUGCUUCAGAAACCCCCAGGGGAUUUCAGAACACAGAUCAGAAAACCCACUUACAGUGGUUCUUAUUUUGGGUCUGUGUAAAUGCAGAAUGUUUGUACUUCUAACCAGUUUCCAAUGAUAUUGAUGUGGAUGAAAAGUGGAUCAAAAUUUAAGAUCCACUGUAGUACAGUUAUAUUAAGUCAAAAACAGCAGAGAGAGACAGAGGUCUGUUUAUAACACAAAUGUGCCAUGCAGAAAUAUGCUCUUUGAUAUACCUCUUAUUACAUGAGGGAUAUUAGCGUGAUUAGUAUAGUUGUUAUAACACUGAACUUUACUGUUGGGUAGAGAGUAGUAGCUGAGGUUUCUCAUGUGUAGAGUACAACUAGACAGUGUUGAUGGAAAGGCCAGUCUGUUGUAUUACAGAUGCUUAGUCUUAAGAAAUACAUGUAAUGUAUGUAUGGUGACAACAGACAUAUACAUAAUAAAUGAUAGAUGACAUCUGAUAGAUUAAUGAUAACUGACAUGCAGUUAGAGGAUAUAAUUCUGGAUAUUAGAGGCCCCCAGCACAUAUACAGCAGAGGACUUCUGGGUCUGCACUCAGUCAGAGAAGAUGCACCUAACCCUCAAGAGGCAGGAAGCCUCAGAGAGUGGGGAGGUCUGAUGGAGGAGGAGAUGGGGGUAAGAAAAUCUUCGUGGAAACAGAGAAAGGAGGUAUGGGGUAUGGAACAGACAGAGGAUAGACCUAGAGGGGAAUAAACUCUAGACUGUAAGGGGAGUGGGGGGGGCAGGGUGUGGGGGACUUUUGGGAUAGCAUUGGAAAUGUAAUUGAGGAAAAUACGUAAUAAAAAAAAGAAAAAAAAAAAGAAGGUACCUAUUAUAAUCCAAAAAAAAAAAAAAGAUUAAGGAAAAAAAAAAGUUCAAAAUGAGUCUCCUUGGACCAUAACUUGAGGAGUUAGCUGAGCUCCACUUCUUGGAGCCUCAGUUGGAGAAUUGCUCUGAAGAUAAGCAACAGCCACUUGGUGUGUUGCCCUAUGAAGAAACACACUCAUAAGCGAAGGAUGCUUCAAGCCAACAACUCUUAAGAAACAAAAGCCUAUAAAUAACCAGGUGAGUGAAUUUGAAUACAGACUCUCUAAUUUAUUUUUCACAACAACCAUAGAAGACCCAGAAAGAUAUCUUUCAUUGCACUAGAAAUUUAGAGCCACUGACAUCCAGUCAAGAUGCACCAGGUUCUCUAGCAUGUAAAAACCAUACACAAAGUAUGUUCUCACUGAUAAGUGAAUAUUAGCCAAAAAGCAGAUCAGAAUAUCCAUGAUACAACUCACAGACCAUAUGGAAAUGAAGAAGAAAGAUCACACCAAAGAGUGGAUGCUUCAGUCCUGAUCAUCGACAGCUGCUGUGGGUCUCAGAGCAGUUGACCAAAGCAGUCCAAAAUGAGCAGAGGGGGGACAGCGUGGAUGUUCCUGUUGUUGAGGAUACUUCCUGUGGUGAUGACUGAAGAUCCACGCUGGGGAAUCUUAUCGGUGUUUCCCAAACCAUGCCGUUGACACAUU